ACUCCUACGGGAGGCAGCAGUGGGGAAUAUUGGACAAUGGGGGGAACCCUGAUCCAGCCAUGCCGCGUGUGUGAAGAAGGCCUUUUGGUUGUAAAGCACUUUAAGCGAGGAGGAGGCUUACCUGGUUAAUACCUGGGAUAAGUGGCAACUUGACUGAUACUCGCAGAAUAAGCACCGGCUAACUCUGUGCCAGCAGCCGCGGUAAUACAGAGGGUGCAAGCGUUAAUCGGAUUUACUGGGCGUAAAGCGCGCGUAGGUGGCUAAUUAAGUCAAAUGUGAAAUCCCCGAGCUUAACUUGGGAAUUGCAUUCGAUACUGGUUAGCUAGAGUAUGGGAGAGGGAUGGUAGAAUUCCAGGUGUAGCGGUGAAAUGCGUAGAGAUCUGGAGGAAUACCGAUGGCGAAGGCACGCCAUCUGGCCUAAUACUGACACUGAGGUGCGAAAGCAUGGGGAGCAAACAGGAUUAGAUACCCUGGUAGCUACGAGU
rnacentral:rRNA from 1 species